CCCGGGUUAAGAACCCUGUUUUAAUUACCCAGCUAGGUCUGAUCCCCCAAUUAUCUCUCAUCUAAACUAUUUAUAAUAGCACCAACUGGUCUCCCUGCUUCAAAAAUCUCCCCCCAAAUCUUCCUAAGGCACAAGAAGGGGACAGUAUUUAUAGAGCACCUACUAUGCCAGGCAUUGUGGCAAGUACUUAAAAAACCCCCAAUAUAAUAUCAUUUAAGCCUCACAAACAAUGCUAGGGGGUGGGUACUGUCAUUAUAUUAUUAUUGUUAUUUACAGAAGAGGAAACCGAGGCAGACAGAGAUGAAGGGACUUGCCCAAGAUCUCCCAGAAAAUAAGUAUCCGAGGCUGAAUUUGAACUCGGGUCUUCCUGUCUCCAGUCCUAGCACUCUAUCCACCCUACCACUUGGCUGCCUUUAAUGAUAAUGGCCAUGACAUUCCUCUACUCAAAAGACUUUGGUGUGUCCCUGUCACUCUUGGGCUAAUCUACUCUCUUUCAGUUGGCAUUCAUAGCCUUCCACAAUCAUUCGUACUUAUCUUUCCAUCUUCAUCCUCCAUUAUUUCCCCUCAUAUACUCCACAUUCCAGCUAAGCUGGAUCUCUACUAUUUCCCCAAAUACAAAGUCUUAUUUCCUGUGCCUGGAAAGGGUUUCCUCCCCAACUCUGCCUUUCCGCAUCCUGGUCUUCCUUCAAUGAUCUAGGAAGGCGCCAUGCCCUCCAUGAUGCCUUCCAUGGCUCCCAUCUGCCCCAACCUCCUCCAAUGACCUCGAUUCUGGGCAGCCUUUCCUGGGUCUCCUCAGCUGCUCGAGCCUUCCCAGGGAGUGCCAGCCACUCCUUAGGGAUCUCCUCUCCACCUCUCCUGCCCCAUGUCUCCGGGAAGCGCCUCGAGGCCAGGGAUAUGGCUUUUCAUUCUUCUGAGGGCUCAAUAAAUGCUUCUGGAUGGCUGUGUGGAAGGCCGCCCGCUCUACUCCCUCCAUCCCUCCUCCUCCUCCUCCCCCAUCUCAGAACAGCUUGUUGCGGGCAAAGACGGUCACGUUUGCUCACCGCAGUCUCUUGCACCUCUCAUCAGCCAUCUCUGCAUUUGCUGGGUUUGGUUGCUGUUGAAUGGAAGGCAGACCAGCUUGGGGCAGGAAGCUGUAUAUCAUCUGUGAAAUGGCUUCUCCGCGUCCUCCAAGGACCAGGGAAACAGCCCCGACGCUGGCUGUCCAUUGUGGGGCCACGAGGCAGCUUCUGGGGCCCUCCUGCCCAGCUUGUGUAUGUUUGA
rnacentral:lncRNA from 1 species